rnacentral:rRNA from 1 species
CUUGGUCAUUUAGAGGAAGUAAAAGUCGUAACAAGGUUUCCGUAGGUGAACCUGCGGAAGGAUCAUUAACGAGUUAGGGUCUCUCUGGCCCGACCUCCCAACCCUAUGUCUACUUGACCAUCGUUGCUUCGGCGAGCCCGUCCUCACGGACCGCCGGAGGGACCUUCACCGGCCCUCUGGUCCGCGCUCGUCGGUAGCCCAACCAUUAAAAUCUUUAACCAAACGUGCCUUAAUCUAAGUACAAUUAUUAAAUAAAAGCAAAACUUUCAACAAUGGAUCUCUUGGUUCUGGCAUCGAUGAAGAACGCAGCGAAAUGCGAUAAGUAGUGUGAAUUGCAGAAUUCAGUGAAUCAUCGAAUCUUUGAACGCACAUUGCGCCCCUUGGCAUUCCAUGGGGCAUGCCUGUUCGAGCGUCAUCUAAACCCUCAAGCCCCCGGCUUGGUGUUGGGUGCCUGUCCCCGCUCCCCGCGCGGACUCACCCCAAAUGCAUUGGCAGCCGCCUCUCGGCUUCUUGCGCAGCACAGUGCGCAGCGAGGCGAGGUGAGGCGUGCGUCCAGCAAACAACCACCCAAGUUUGACCUCGGAUCAGGUAGGGAUACCCGCUGAACUUAAGCAUAUCAAUAAGCGGAGGA